UACGUAGGGUGCAAGCGUUGUCCGGAAUUAUUGGGCGUAAAGAGCUCGUAGGCGGUCUGUCACGUCGGCUGUGAAAACCCGAGGCUCAACCUCGGGCCUGCAGUCGAUACGGGCAGACUAGAGUUCGGUAGGGGAGACUGGAAUUCCUGGUGUAGCGGUGAAAUGCGCAGAUAUCAGGAGGAACACCGAUGGCGAAGGCAGGUCUCUGGGCCAUAACUGACGCUGAGAAGCGAAAGCAUGGGGAGCGAACAGG
rnacentral:rRNA from 1 species